rnacentral:tRNA from 1 species
GAGAGUAUAGAUCAAUUGGUGGAGUGUGUGCUUAGCAUGCAUGAGGUCCUGGGUUCAAUACCCAGUACCUCCA